rnacentral:lncRNA from 1 species
UUCACGAAUAUGCCGCAUUGCAUCGAUUGUUGUUGAUGUGGGUGAAUGUUGGAUGACCCAAUUAGUCCAUGACAGGAAGACCAGGACCCCAUUCUACGGCCUGGCACAGAGUAAGGAAAGACCAGGACCCCAUUCUACGGCCUGGCACGGUAAUGGGACUCGAAGACCAGGAGCCCAGAGGAGGCCCUGGGAUAAUGGUAAGUAAUGUAUGUAUGACAGGAAGACCAGGACCCCAUGCUACGGCCUGGCACAGAGUUAGCUUGGACUAAUUGGUGACAAGUUCACCCAACCCUUAUGUGAAUUGUCUGUGUUAUGAUGCAUUUCAUUGGAGCAUAGUGUUAAUAUGUUUUAUAGUUCUG